rnacentral:rRNA from 1 species
CGCGUAGGCGGCGUGGUAAGUUAGGCGUGAAAGCCCCGGGCUCAACCUGGGAAUUGCGCUUGAUACUGUCAUGCUAGAGUUCGGGAGAGGUGAGUGGAAUUCCCAGUGUAGAGGUGAAAUUCGUAGAUAUUGGGAAGAACACCAGUGGCGAAGGCGGCUCACUGGACCGACACUGACGCUGAGGCGCGAAAGCGUGGGGAGCAAACAGGAUUAGAUACCCUGGUAGUCCACGCUGUAAACGAUGUGUGCUAGACGCUGGUGCUCUUAGAGCUUCGGUGUCGCCGCUAACGCAUUAAGCACACCGCCUGGGGAGUACGGCCGCAAGGUUAAA